rnacentral:rRNA from 1 species
UACGAAGGGGGCUAGCGUUGCUCGGAAUCACUGGGCGUAAAGCGCACGUAGGCGGACUCUUAAGUCAGGGGUGAAAUCCUGGAGCUCAACUCCAGAACUGCCUUUGAUACUGGGAGUCUUGAGUUCGGGAGAGGUGAGUGGAACUGCGAGUGUAGAGGUGAAAUUCGUAGAUAUUCGCAAGAACACCAGUGGCGAAGGCGGCUCACUGGCCCGGUACUGACGCUGAGGUGCGAAAGCGUGGGGAGCAACAGG